rnacentral:rRNA from 1 species
AGCAGCCGCGGUAAUUCCAGCUCCAAUAGCGUAUAUUAAAGUUGUUGCAGUUAAAAAGCUCGUAGUUGAACUUCGGGGUUUACCCAUUGGUCAGGCUUAAUUGUCUGCACUGGUGAGAUGAGUCUCUACCUUCUGAGGAACUUUCAUGCCAUUUAUUUGGUGUGAUGGGAAAUCAGGACUGUUACUUUGAAAAAAUUAGAGUGUUUAAAGCAGGCUAACGUCUGAAUACAUUAGCAUGGAAUAAUGAAAUAGGACGGACUGAUUCUAUUUCGUUGGUUUCUAGGAUCACCGUAAUGAUUAAUAGGGAUAGUUGGGGGCAUUAGUAUUCAAUUGUCAGAGGUGAGAUUCUUGGAUUUAUUGAAGACUAACUACUGCGAAAGCAUUUGCCAAGGAUGUUUUCAUUAAUCAAGAACGAAAGUUAGGGGAUCGAAGGCGAUCAGAUACCGUCGUAGUCUUAACCAUAAACUAUGCCGACUAGGGAUCGGACGAAGUUAAUUUUAUAAUGACGCGUUCGGCACCUUACG